rnacentral:rRNA from 1 species
AUUGAACGCUGGCGGCAGGCCUAACACAUGCAAGUCGAACGGUAACAGGAAGCAGCUUGCUGCUUUGCUGACGAGUGCCGGACGGGUGAGUAAUGUCUGCGAAACUGCCUGAUGGAGGGGGAUAACUACUGGAAACGGUAGCUAAUACCGCAUAACGUCGCAAGACCAAAGAGGGGGACCUUAGGGCCUCUUUCCAUCGGGUGUGCCCAGAUGGGAUUAGCUAGUAGGUGGGGUAACGGCUCACCUAGGCGACGAUCCCUAGCUGGUCUGAGAGGAUGACCAGCCACACUGGAACUGAGACACGGUCCAGACUCCUACGGGAGGCAGCAGUGGGGAAUAUUGCACAAUGGGCGCGAGCCUGAUGCAGCCAUGCCGCGUGUAUGAAGAAGGCGUUCGGGUUGUAAAGUACUUUCAGCGGGGGGGAAGGGAGUAAAGUUAAUACCUUUGCUCAUUGACGUUACCCGCAGAAGAAGCACCGGCUAACUCCGUG